CGAAGUCUGGUGCCAGCAGCCGCGGUAAUUCCAGCUCCAAUAGCGUAUAUUAAGUUGUUGCAGUUAAAAGCUCGUAGUUGAAUUUCGGGACUAAUAUGUCGGUCGUACUUUGUACGUACUAGUCAUUAUUGGUUUCUCCCUUCUGACGAACCACGAUGUCAUUAAUUUGGUGUCGUGGGAAAUCAGGACUGUUACUUUGAAAAAUUAGAGUGUUUAAAGCAAGCUCGCGCUUGAAUACAUUAGCAUGGAAUAAUGAAAUAGGACGUUUGAUUCUAUUUUAGUUGGUUUCUUAGGAUCGACGUAAUGAUUAAUAGGGAUAUUGGGGGCAUUAGUAUUCAAUUGUCAGAGGUGAAAUUCUUGGAUUUAUUGAAGACUAACUACUGCGAAAGCAUUUGCCAAGGAUGUUUUCAUUAAUCAAGAACGAAAGUUAGGGGGAUCGAGGACGAUCAGAUACCGUCGUAGUCUUAACCAUAAACUAUGCCGACUAGGGAUCGGAUGAUGUUAAUUUUUUAAUGACUCAUUCGGCGCCUUACG
rnacentral:rRNA from 1 species